AACGAACGCUGGCGGCAUGCCUAACACAUGCAAGUCGAACGAGACCUUCGGGUCUAGUGGCGCACGGGUGCGUAACGCGUGGGAACCUGCCCUUAGGUUCGGAAUAACUCCCCGAAAGGGGUGCUAAUACCGGAUAAUGUCUUCGGACCAAAGAUUUAUCGCCUUUGGAUGGGCCCGCGUUGGAUUAGCUAGUUGGUAGGGUAAAAGCCUACCAAGGCGACGAUCCAUAGCUGGUCUGAGAGGAUGAUCAGCCACACUGGGACUGAGACACGGCCCAGACUCCUACGGGAGGCAGCAGUGGGGAAUAUUGGACAAUGGGCGAAAGCCUGAUCCAGCAAGGCCGCGUGAGUGAUGAAGGCCUUAGGGUUGUAAAGCUCUUUUAACCGGGAUGAUAAUGACAGUACCGGGAGAAUAAGCGCCGGCUAACUCCGUG
rnacentral:rRNA from 1 species